rnacentral:rRNA from 1 species
CUACGGGGUGCACCAGUGGGGAAUAUUGCACAAUGGACGGAAGCCUGAUGCAGCCAUACCGCGUGUGUGAAGAAGGCCUUAGGGUUGUAAAGCACUUUCAGUCGUGAGGAAAGGGUGAUGGUUAAUACCCAUUAUCUGUGACGUUAGCGACAGAAGAAGCACCGGCUAAUUCCGUGCCAGCAGCCGCGGUAAUACGGAAGGUGCGAGCGUUAAUCGGAAUUACUGGGCGUAAAGCGCGCGUAGGUGGUUCAGUCAGUCAGAUGUGAAAGCCCCGGGCUCAACCUGGGAACUGCACCUGAUACUGCUGGACUUGAGUACGGUAGAGGGUAGUGGAAUUUCCUGUGUAGCGGUGAAAUGCGUAGAUAUAGGAAGGAACACCAGUGGCGAAGGCGACUACCUGGACCGAUACUGACACUGAGGUGCGAAAGCGUGGGGAGCAAACAGGAUUAGAUACCCGCGUAGUC